AUGAACGCUGGCGGCGUGCCUAAUACAUGCAAGUCGAGCGAACAGAUGAGGAGCUUGCUCCUCUGACGUUAGCGGCGGACGGGUGAGUAAUACGUGGAUAACCUACCUAUAAGACUGGGAUAACUUCGGGAAACCGGAGCUAAUACCGGAUAAUAUAUUGAACCGCAUGGUUCAAUAGUGAAAGACGGUUUUGCUGUCACUUAUAGAUGGAUCCGCGCCGCAUUAGCUAGUUGGUAAGGUAACGGCUUACCAAGGCAACGAUGCGUAGCCGACCUGAGAGGGUGAUCGGCCACACUGGAACUGAGACACGGUCCAGACUCCUACGGGAGGCAGCAGUAGGGAAUCUUCCGCAAUGGGCGAAAGCCUGACGGAGCAACGCCGCGUGAGUGAUGAAGGUCUUCGGAUCGUAAAACUCUGUUAUUAGGGAAGAACAAAUGUGUAAGUAACUAUGCACGUCUUGACGGUACCUAAUCAGAAAGCCACGGCUAACUACGUG
rnacentral:rRNA from 1 species